rnacentral:rRNA from 1 species
UACGUAGGGUGCGAGCGUUAAUCGGAAUUACUGGGCGUAAAGGGUGCGCAGGCGGUUCUGCAAGUCAGGCGUGAAAUCCCCGGGCUUAACCUGGGAAUGGCGCUUGAAACUACGGGACUGGAGUAUGGCAGAGGGAGGUGGAAUUCCACGUGUAGCGGUGAAAUGCGUAGAGAUGUGGAGGAACACCGAUGGCGAAGGCAGCCUCCUGGGCCAAUACUGACGCUCAUGCACGAAAGCGUGGGGAUCAAACAGG